UAUCAUAACCCAUGGAUGUCUCUCAUUGU
rnacentral:piRNA from 1 species